CCUACGGGUGGCAGCAGUAGGGAAUAUUGCUCAAUGGGGGAAACCCUGAAGCAGCAACGCCGCGUGGAGGAUGAAGGUUUUCGGAGUGGAAACUCAGGGUGGUAGAGAAGAAAAUGACGGUAUCUAAAGAAUAAGCACCGGCUAACUCCGUGACAGCAGCCGCGGUAAUACGGAGGGUGCAAGCGUGACUCGGAAUCACUGGGCGUAAAGAGCGCGUAGGCGGGAUCGCAAGUCAGAUGUGAAAUCCUAUGGCUUAACCAUAGAACUGCAUUUGAAACUGUUAUUCUAGAGUAUGGGAGAGGUAGGUGUAAUUCUUGGUGUAGCGGUCAAAUCCGUAGAUAUCACGAGG
rnacentral:rRNA from 1 species